AGUGAACGCUGGCGGUAGGCCUAACACAUGCAAGUCGAACGGCAGCACCGUAAGAGCUUGCUCUUACGGGUGGCGAGUGGCGGACGGGUGAGGAAUACAUCGGAAUCUACUUUUUCGUGGGGGAUAACGUAGGGAAACUUACGCUAAUACCGCAUACGACCUACGGGUGAAAGCAGGGGAUCUUCGGACCUUGCGCGAUUGAAUGAGCCGAUGUCGGAUUAGCUAGUUGGCGGGGUAAAGGCCCACCAAGGCGACGAUCCGUAGCUGGUCUGAGAGGAUGAUCAGACACACUGGAACUGAGACACGGUCCAGACUCCUACGGGAGGCAGCAGUGGGGAAUAUUGGACAAUGGGCGCAAGCCUGAUCCAGCCAUACCGCGUAGGGGAAGAAGGCCUUCUGGUUGUAAAGCCCUUUUGUUGGGAAAGAAAAGCAGCAGGUUAAUACCCCGCUGUUCUGACGGUACCCAAAGAAUAAGCACCGGCUAACUUCGUG
rnacentral:rRNA from 1 species